GAUGAAGAACGUAGCGAAAUGCGAUAAGUAAUGUGAAUUGCAGAAUUCCGUGAAUCAUCGAAUCUUUGAACGCACAUUGCGCCCCCUGGUAUUCCGGGGGGCAUGCCUGUCCGAGCGUCAUUGCAACCUUCAAGCGCGGCUUGUGUGUUGGGUCUCGUCCCCCGUGGACGGGCCCGAAAGGCAGUGGUGGCGUCCCGACAUGGUGCCCGAGCGUAUGGGAAUCCUCUUCCGCUCGAAUCGGCCCAUGCGGCGCUGGUCGUAACCAAAUUUUUUACCGGUUGACCUCGGAUCAGGUAGGGAUACCCGCUGAACUUAAGCAUAUCAAUAAGCGGAGGA
rnacentral:misc_RNA from 1 species